rnacentral:rRNA from 1 species
AUUGAACGCUGGCGGCAGGCUUAACACAUGCAAGUCGAGCGGAGCGAGGGUGCUUGCACCUUAGCUUAGCGGCGGACGGGUGAGUAAUGCUUAGGAAUCUGCCUAUUAGUGGGGGACAACAUUCCGAAAGGAAUGCUAAUACCGCAUACGCCCUACGGGGGAAAGCAGGGGAUCUUCGGACCUUGCGCUAAUAGAUGAGCCUAAGCCGGAUUAGCUAGUUGGUGGGGUAAAGGCCUACCAAGGCGACGAUCUGUAGCGGGUCUGAGAGGAUGAUCCGCCACACUGGGACUGAGACACGGCCCAGACUCCUACGGGAGGCAGCAGUGGGGAAUAUUGGACAAUGGGCGGAAGCCUGAUCCAGCCAUGCCGCGUGUGUGAAGAAGGCCUUUUGGUUGUAAAGCACUUUAAGCGAGGAGGAGGCUCUUAAGGUUAAUACCCUUGAUGAGUGGACGUUACUCGCAGAAUAAGCACCGGCUAACUCUGUGCCAGCCGCCGCCGUAACAC